CGCCUUGCCAGCCCGCUCAGAACUUAAGGAAUUGACAGGGGCCCGCACAAGCGGUGGAGUAUGUGGUUUAAUUCGAUGCAACGCGAAGAACCUUACCUGGUCUUGACAUCCCGGAGACCCUUAGGAAACUAGGGGGUGCUUCCAUCUGGAAGAAUCUGGAGACAGGUGCUGCAUGGCUGUCGUCAGCUCGUGUCGUGAGAUGUUGGGUUAAGUCCCGCAACGAGCGCAACCCUUGCCUUUAGUUGCCAGCAGUUCGGCUGGGCACUCUAAAGGGACUGCCGGUGUUAAACCGGAGGAAGGUGGGGAUGACGUCAAGUCCUCAUGGCCUUUAUGACCAGGGCUACACACGUACUACAAUGGCCGAUACAAAGGGCAGCGACACUGCGAGGUGAAGCCAAUCCCGUAAAAUCGGUCUCAGUCCGGAUUGGAGUCUGCAACUCGACUCCAUGAAGUUGGAAUCGCUAGUAAUCGUGGAUCAGCAUGCCACGGUGAAUACGUUCCCGGGCCUU
rnacentral:rRNA from 1 species